rnacentral:rRNA from 1 species
AGAUUGAACGCUGGCGGCAGGCCUAACACAUGCAAGUCGAGCGGUAGAGAGGUGCUUGCAUCUCUUGAGAGCGGCGGACGGGUGAGUAAUGCCUAGGAAUCUGCCUAGUGGUGGGGGAUAACGUUCGGGAACGGACGCUAAUACCGCAUACGUCCUACGGGAGAAAGCGGGGGACCUUCGGGCCUCGCGCCAUUAGAUGAGCCUAGGUCGGAUUAGCUAGUUGGUGAGGUAAUGGCUCACCAAGGCGACGAUCCGUAACUGGUCUGAGAGGAUGAUCAGUCACACUGGAACUGAGACACGGUCCAGACCUCCGUACGGGAGCGAG